rnacentral:rRNA from 1 species
AUUGAACGCUGGCGGCAUGCCUUACACAUGCAAGUCGAACGGCAGCAUGGGUGCUUGCACCUGAUGGCGAGUGGCGAACGGGUGAGUGAUGCAUCGGAACGUACCCGGAAGUGGGGGAUAACGUAGCGAAAGUUACGCUAAUACCGCAUAUUCCGUGAGCAGGAAAGCGAGGGAUCGCAAGACCUCGCGCUUCCGGAGCGGCCGAUGUCGGAUUAGCUAGUUGGCGGGGUAAAGGCCCACCAAGGCAACGAUCCGUAGCGGGUCGGAGAGGAUGAUCCGCCACACUGGGACUGAGACACGGCCCAGACUCCUACGGGAGGCAGCAGUGGGGAAUUUUGGACAAUGGGCGCAAGCCUGAUCCAGCCAUGCCGCGUGAGUGAAGAAGGCCUUCGGGUUGUAAAGCUCUUUCGGCUGGGAAGAAAUCGCAUCUCCUAAUACGGGGUGUGGAUGACGGUACCAGCAUAAGAAGCACCGGCUAACUACGUGCCAGCCGCCGCUGUAA